rnacentral:rRNA from 1 species
UACGGAGGAAGGUGGGGAUGACGUCAAAUCAUCAUGCCCCUUAUGUCCUGGGCUACACACGUGCUACAAUGGCUGGUACAAAGAGACGCAAGACCGCGAGGUGGAGCAAAUCUCAAAAACCAGUCCCAGUUCGGAUUGCAGGCUGCAACUCGCCUGCAUGAAGUCGGAGUUGCUAGUAAUCGCAGAUCAGAAUGCUGCGGUGAAUGCGUUCCCGGGUCUU